UUGUAAGCCAUAAAUGAAANCCAUUUUCUAAGGGUAU
rnacentral:tRNA from 1 species